rnacentral:pre_miRNA from 1 species
ACGGGAAUCACUUGGGGAUCUUGGUAAAAUGCAGGUUUAUGAUCUGUGAAAGGGACCAAGGAUCUGCAUUUCUACCAAAGUCCCAGAGGACCUCAGU